GAGGUAGGACUAAAUAUAUUUAAAUAGUGGAGUUUGGUGGUGUUACUUUUUUAUUAUUUGAUUUUUUUUUGUGAGUGGUGUAAAGGUAUUUAUUUAUAGAUUUUUUUCAAGCAAAGUAUUAGGGAGUCGUACUCCAGUCUAGUAGGUGGCGGUAAUGCAACAUUUAUUGGAUGCCAGCUGCCAUUAAACCUCAUCAAAGAAGAAGAAAAGGCGACCUACGCUGGUGGUCCUCUGUUUACUUUUUAGUGAACUACACCAAAUUUGAUUUCGAGGUGUCUGCAUCUAUCUGUACUUUUCAACAGCCUUUUGCUUCUACACUACACAUCCAUUAACAAUUACUUAUUCGAAGGCCAUUUUCAGUCAAAUAAUGGCAAAUGACGUUGCUUUUCACACUCAGCUAGCCUCCAUCAUGGAGGUUUUAGCUAACGCGGCCGUGGCUGAAAUCUGCGAGCUUGUUGACAAUGGCUAUGCGGUCCUGCAUUUGGAGAUAUCUCAAGGGCAGAAGGAGAAUGAAGCGUUGAGGAGAAAACUACGGAUGAUGGAGCUGAAAGUGUCUCGUGCGAGUACUCCGAGAGCGGGAAUGGGAGGCUCAACCCUCGCGCACAGUCGUUCUCGAACUCACUUUGGCAUGGAAUCGAGAAGGACAUCAGUCGGCGAGGUACAUUGUCGUAGAGGAGUUGAUUCCCAGUUGGUCACCAGCCUGUUUAGGGACGGAAAGUCCUCAGGUGAUACUGGACAGACUACCACACAGAGAAAGACAAAAUUCUGAUCAGCACCUCAACUUGGUCAACCAACCCCCGCACCUGCACUGGAAGCCUCCUGAGGACCUCUGCUGUCUCUCAACUGCUGCUACAGGGGUAUUUGUUGCGAAAGAGAGGCAACUGCACUGAAAGAGAAUCAAUGUUCAGCUCAGGGUACUGAUCUAGAGACUCAUCCAACUCCCCCGUGAGAAGCACUCUUUCCAACUUUUGCAGAAUGUUUAGACUGUCCUGGUCAAAAUGGUGGCCAAACGGAACCUCCACACCAUCCAACACUUAAAACAAUUCUGCCCUAUAGUGAUCCACUGCUUUGCCAGCAAAUCGUCUUGAGUGUGUCUCAAUGGAUUCAAUCAAUGUUGUUGCUUUCUCAUACAGUGCAAGGUAGCUUUCGUCGUUUCCACGCGCUGGAUAACUGGACAUUGAUUGGAUUUAGCUGGUGUGCUGUUACAGUUACACAGUGGCGGUGGGUUUGGCAGUUUUGAUGGGCUGUGAAUUUUACAAAGGCAUCCGCUCUUUGGCCAAAAGAUGGCUGGCAUGAAAACCCUUGGCUCCACUGAAAACACAAAACUCCUUUUAUUGAUUGAUUAUAAUGUAGCCAGGGGAAAUCGCAAAACCAUCUCUCUUGAAACGUCAACACUCUGUUGGCAAGAGUUUGCGGUUCUAUAAAUUGUGGGUGUGACUGAUAUGGUUUUGUGUUAUCACUGAGGUAACUGGACAAUGCUGUGCCACUGUCCCCUAUACUGGUGCAGAUGGCAACAAGGUUGACACCUGGUCCUGCCGUGGCUGUGCCACUGUCCUCUAUACUGGUGCUGCUGGCAACAAGGUUGACACCUGGUCCUGCCAUGGCUGUGACACUGUCCUCUGAAGUCUCUCUCCCUGGCCCUUUCCCUUUCAUCACCCUCACUGCCUCACUGUCUGUCUCCUAGAAAUGAAAUAAGGUGUUUGCCCUACUCCUAACUACCGCUACCCAAAACUACCCAAUCACAACAGCAAUACCAUUGCCUUAAACUGGUGACUGAACUAAAAUUUGUUUAAGUUGAGAGUGGGGGUAUCCAUGGCAUUUUUCAAUUGUGUCCCUAUUUUACAAGUCAAAAAAAAAAAAAAUUGAGAACCUUUCAUAAUGUUGCCAAACAAAGACUCAACAAACUUACCUGAGACUCCUUGUCUUUGCCAGUCUGUCCCUGCCCAUCUGUCCCCACCUCUGCUGUCUGUGUGCCCUCUGUUGCCUGAUCUGCCUAAUGACCAUGUUUACAGUGAUAUAUUGGGGGGGACAAAUCAUAUUUUUCCCAGGAUGGGGGGGUCGUGUCCCCCCUGGAAUUUCCGCCUAUGGAAAGGUAAGCAUUUGUCCACACUUGUUUCAGAAAGGGCAGCAUAAUAUUUCAGUGGUUAUCAACACACCCUAGGUCUGAAUGUAAAUAUGACAUAUAGCCCACCCAUGCUAGUGGUAAUUUUGUAAUCAAGUGAUCCUGUUUUACCUGUUUACUUGUCUGUUAGUGUUCUUGUGUUAUCUUUUUUUCAGCUGUCUUUAUGACUGUGACUGUACAGAGCAUUUUUCCCAGUUUUAACUGUGUGGUUCCAGCCCUGAAUGCUGAUUGGCUGACAGCCAUGGUAUAUCAGACCGUAUACCAUGGGUAUAACAAAACUUUUAGUUUUACUGCGCUAAUUACGUUGGUAACCAGUUUUAUAAUAGCAAUAAGGCACCUCGGGGGUUUGUGGUAUAUGGUCAAUAUACCACGGCUAAGGGCUGUGUCCAGGCACUCUACGAUGCGUCGCACAUAAGAACAGCCAUUAGCCGUGGUAUAUUGGUCAUAUACCACACCCCCUCGUGCCUUAUUGCUUAAUUAUAUCUUGCAUCCCAAUUGAUUUUACCCAACCUUGUGUCCAACAGCCUGCAGCGUUGGAUGAGUCCAAAUCACCUACCAUCAAAGAGGAGAGGCGGGAAGAAGCCUGGGACAAUCAUGACCAACGAGAGAGAUUGAGUACCGGAGCUUUAAAUCCCCGUGUUGGAGGAGAAAGGCAUUCCAACAUCGACACAGAGGCUGCUCAAUCAAUCAGCAAACAGGAGAACGCCAGCUCUUGUAUAUGGGUGAGUGGUGAAACAGACAACAGCCUCUUGCCAGAAUCAAAUGAAAAUAUGAGUGUGAACAAAAGAUCUCAAACUCCAGCAUUGGAAGAUGGUGAUGGAAUACUUGACCAUGCAGGCUUUGAUUGUAUGAUGUUUGAGCCCCCCAGACAACUUGGGACCCUUAGCACCCAGGGUCCUGGGGCUGAUCUUCCUGAGUGCUCUUACUCUCAUGUGGAUGUUGUACCUCUUAAUUCUGAUUCAGAGAAUAGUUUUCCCUUUUCAAUGAACAAGGUGAGUCGCUCCAUAACUGAGCACAAACAACCUGUAGCUUACAGAGACAAUAGACAGAGGGUGCCGUUGCCCUCAGAUGAGCCUCACAUGACUGUGCGAAAAGGCAUGGAGACUGGAUCCAAUGCCUUGGUAAUGACGGAUGGUUGGGUUUCCCAUGACAGUCAUAAUAACGACGCUGUGAAUUACAACCAAGACGGCACAGCAGGUAACCGGUUCAUUUGUAGUUUCUGUGGUAAGACUUUGGCGUGUCUGAAGAACCUCAAGACACACCUUAGGGUUCACACCGGGGAGAAGCCGUUCAGCUGCAUGCAGUGCGGGAAGCGCUUCUCCGACUCCAGCAACCUCAAGCGACACCAGAGCGUACACACGGGGGAGAGACGCUACGGCUGCAGCCACUGCGGCAAGCGCUUCGCCCAGUCAGGCUCACUCAAAGUGCACCUUAGCAUACAUAAAGGAUGCAAGCAGUUCCGAUGCCCACAGUGUGAAAAGACUUUCAUAUCGGCCAAUCACCUCAAGAGACACAUCAGUGUCCACGAUGGAGAAGAAAGUAUUUUACCAACCACUUUUCAGUGAGUGAAAGCAUAUCCAAACGUGCUCCAGCCCAGCUUGAACAAAAAAAUGAAUUGGGGGCUCGACUGAAGGAGUUGAUCAUCCAAAAAGUAUUCCAUACACUUUUGAAUGAGUGUUUUUGUAACUUCUAUCAUUGAAGUUGUUUAUCACUCAUCCUCAGCCCACUGUGUGAAAAGUGGUUUGUGGACUCAAGUCAUCUCAUUCGUCACACCGGAUACUACAUACAGUGUGCGGAGAGGUUUGCUGCGAAGCACACUCUUAGAAUUCACCUAGAGAGAAACUGUUCUGGUGGUCACUGAGUAUACCACGAACACAGUUAUUUGUGAAUAAUUCUACCUUCACAUUUUGACUGAACACAUUUUGUCUGUAUUGGGCUAUUUGUUAUUUACAGUUUAGGAGUAGUCUUAUAACAAAAGGAAUGGAAUUAAAACAAAAGAUGUUGUAUGUAUCUAAUAAUGUGUACCAUUAUUAUUUCAAAAGUGCUGCAAGAAAUAUAUGAACAAUACAAACAGUGAUUGUUACUACUAUUAUUAUUAUUAUUAUUAUUAUUAGUAGUAGUAGUAAUAUAAAACAUACUACCUCUCUUUAGGAAAAACACUCCUCCAAGCCAACCAGUCUAGUAAAAUGAUAUCUCGCAAAGGCCCAUGUAUGACAUUUUGAAAUAUGAAUUAUCUUGCACACAUUAUUUUUGUAAACAUUUCCUCUGAAAAUGUGUUUUUGUGAAAUAAACAAUUGUAAGAAAAAGGCCAGUA